UACGUAGGGACCAAGCGUUGUCCGGAAUCAUUGGGCGUAAAGAGCGUGUAGGCGGCCAGGUAGGUCUGGUGUGAAAACUCGAGGCUUAACCUCGAGAUGUCAUCGGAAACCAUCUGGCUAGAGUCCGGAAGAGGAGAGUGGAAUUCCUGGUGUAGCGGUGAAUGCGCAGAUAUCAGGAAGAACACCAAUGGCGAAAGCAGCUCUCUGGGACGGUACUGACGCUGAGACGCGAAAGCGUGGGGAGCGAACAGG
rnacentral:rRNA from 1 species